rnacentral:lncRNA from 1 species
CGGGCUCACAAUCCAAAAACCUUUGUUGGUUUUACGGGCUCACCAACGAACCUAUACACUUUGGUUUUCCGGGUUCACCAAAAACCUUUGUUGGUUUUGCGGGCUCACCAACUAACCUUUACACUUUGGUUUUCCGGAUUCACCAAAAACCUUUGUUGGUUUUGCGGGCUCACCAACUAACCUUUACACUUUGGUUUUCCGGGUUCACCAAAAAUCUUUGUUGGUUUUGCGGGCUCACCAACUAACCUUUACAAAGUGUUUAAUUAACAAAAGGAAAGAUUCAAACUCCUAAAUGAGCAUAUGAAACAAUAUGAACUACAAAGAAGAGUUAGAAAGUAUUUAUCGCUUUGAAGUCGCUUUGCUCUUCUUUGUCAAGGAUGCUUCACUCUUCAAGGGAGGAUGGAGCUCUUGAUGACUCUUUGAAUCUGCUCAACCCCUUUCUUUUGACUCUUGAAUGAAGCACUUGGAUGAAGCUUGCCUUGCUAGGGUUCUUUCUUGAAUGCACUUGAUGUAUUUUCCCAAAAGCUUGCUUCCUCUGAUGAAUACUCCCUCUUAAAUACUUUUCCAACCUCCAAAUAGUCCUUUCUAACCAUUGGAUUGAAGAAACUAGCCGUUUAUAGCCGUUGGGAGUCCAAAAAGCAUUUCUGCACAACUAGCCGUUAUGUUCAGCCCGUGUUUGGGUCGGCUCAACCUGUCCUUGGGUCGACCCAACCUUCACUUGGGUCGACUCAAAUAUUCCUUGGGUCGACCCUCUCAGAAACCACAGAAACCUCAAUUUCAGCCUUCCUUCCCAUGGGUCGACCCAACCAUUCUUUGGGUCGACUCAAAGUC